CAGCCCUAAACGAUGCGCGUUAGGUGUAUCGGUGACCACGAGUCACCGAGGUGCCGAAGGGAAACCGUGAAACGUGCCGCCUGGGAAGUACGGUCGCAAGGCUGAAACUUAAAGGGAAUUGGCGGGGGAGCACCACAACGGGUGGAGCUUGCGGUUUAAUUGGAUUCAACGCCGGAAAUCUUACCGGGACCGACAGCAACAUGAAGGCCAGGCUGAAGACUUUGCCGGAUUAGCUGAGAGGAGGUGCAUGGCGUAGUCGUGU
rnacentral:rRNA from 1 species